rnacentral:rRNA from 1 species
AGCCUGAACGCUGGCGGCGUGGCUAAGACAUGCAAGCCGCACGGGGUAGCAAUACCCAGUGGCGAACGGGAGAGUAAUGAAUCGCUAACGUACCCCGGACUCUGGGAUAGCUAUCCGAAAGGGUAGGUAAUACCAGUAUAAUAUAACCGACAGGCAUCUGUUGGUUCUCAAAGGUCCGCC